AGCGGAGGAAAAGAAACCAACAGGGAUUGCCUCAGUAACGGCGAGUGAAGCGGCAAAAGCUCAAAUUUGAAAUCUAGCACCUUCGGUGUUCGAGUUGUAAUUUGAAGAUGGUAACCUUGGGUUUGGCUCUUGUCUAUGUUCCUUGGAACAGGACGUCAUAGAGGGUGAGAAUCCCGUCUGAUGAGAUGCCCAUUCCUAUGUAAGGUGCUAUCGAAGAGUCGAGUUGUUUGGGAAUGCAGCUCUAAGUGGGUGGUAAAUUCCAUCUAAAGCUAAAUAUUGGCGAGAGACCGAUAGCGAACAAGUACAGUGAUGGAAAGAUGAAAAGAACUUUGAAAAGAGAGUGAAAAAGUACGUGAAAUUGUUGAAAGGGAAGGGCAUUAGAUCAGACUUGGUGUUUUACGAUUAUCUUCUCUUCUUGAGUUGUGCACUCGUAUUUCACUGGGCCAGCAUCGAUUCGGAUGGCAAGAUAAUGGCAGUUGAAUGUGGCUUCACUUCGGUGGAGUGUUAUAGCUUCUGCUGAUAUUGCCUGUCUGGAUCGAGGGCUGCGUCUUUUGACUAGGAUGCUGGCGUAAUGAUCUAAUGCCGCCCGUCU
rnacentral:rRNA from 1 species